GGGUACUGUGGAAAUUAUCACCCCUGUGGAGCUGAUCAAGAAGGGUGACAAAGUGGGCUCAUCCGAGUCUGCCCUUCUUGCCAAGCUGGGUAUCCGCCCUUUCUCAUAUGGUCUUCAGGUCAUCAAUGUCUAUGAGGAUGGGUCAGUCUUCAGCCCUGAGGUGCUUGACCUGACUGAGGAGGACCUCAUUGAGAAGUUUGCCACUGGUGUCUCCAUGGUUGCCUCUCUGUCCCUGGCGCUCUCGUACCCAACCCUUGCUGCCGCGCCCCACAUGUUCAUCAAUGGGUACAAGAAUGUGCUUG
rnacentral:lncRNA from 1 species